AGUGAACGCUGGCGGUAGGCCUAACACAUGCAAGUCGAACGGCAGCACAGUAAGAGCUUGCUCUUACGGGUGGCGAGUGGCGGACGGGUGAGGAAUACAUCGGAAUCUACUUUUUCGUGGGGGAUAACGUAGGGAAACUUACGCUAAUACUGCAUACGACCUACGGGUGAAAGCAGGGGAUCUUCGGACCUUGCGCGAUUGAAUGAGCCGAUGUCGGAUUAGCUAGUUGGCGGGGUAAAGGCCCACCAAGGCGACGAUCCGUAGCUGGUCUGAGAGGAUGAUCAGCCACACUGGAACUGAGACACGGUCCAGACUACUACGGGAGGCAGCAGUGGGGAAUAGUGUACAAUGGGCGCAAGCCUGGUCCAGCCAUACCGCGUGGGUGAAGAAGGCCUGCGGGUUGUAAAGCCCUUUUGUUGGGAAAGAAAAGCAGCAGGUUAAUACCCCGCUGUUCUGACGGUACCCAAAGAAUAAGCACCGGCUAACUUCGUG
rnacentral:rRNA from 1 species